rnacentral:lncRNA from 10 species
UCCUUCACCUGUUGCCUGGCUAGAGUUGUCUGGCUCCACUUUGAGCUCUUGCAGAACCAGCCCUUUUUCGUGUGGUCCAGGAAAGUCCAUGCCUGGCACCACCUCCUCCUCUAGUGACUCCACGUAGAAGAGAGUCCUGGCUGGCUGCUGAGUGCCCUGCCCAGGAGCCCCUUGCUGCAGCCUCGUGGCAACUGGAAGCAGGGUGCCAUUCAGCGGAUUGAAGGAAGAGGAGGAAGAGGACGGGGAGGACGAUGAAGAGGAAGAGGAGGAAGGCUUCUUCCAGAAAGUGCUCACACCGCUUCUCUCUUGGCUUUUGAGCAGGCGACUCUGGCUGGGUCCCCAGUGCUCAAAGCUGCCACUGCCGUCCUGUUGCAGGCAGCCUCCCCCCGCCGGGCCGCCGGUGGAAGGAGACGGGUGGCUGAAGAGUUUCCAGCGGAGUCGCAGAAUGUGCUUCACAUCGAAGUCUUUUCGCCCAGAGCCUGACAUGCUUUACGCACAGAAGGCAAAAGGCUGGCAGCUCACGCAGGAGGCAGGACCUGGGCGUGGGGACACCACCAGGCAGGAGCAGAGGCAGGACUGGGACGCCAAAAGCUGAGAAUCCUCGAUGCCCGCGCGAGAGCCCCGUGUUAUGGCGAGGUCUGGAGGCUGGGAAGUUCAAGACCAAUGCACGAGAAUUUGGUCUAAAGAGAAUCUUCUUGCUCUGAACACACAUAGUAGAAGGCAGAAGGGCAAGAGAGAGAACAAAGUCUGUGUCUCCACAUGGCAGAAGAGCAGAGGAGACAGAACCUACUCCUGUAUGGCAACCACCCCAUCAAUGACAAAAAUCCUAGAAGGAUGUAUGUAUAGGAAGUUGAAGUGUUGAGAAGAGAAUGGCUCAGAGUCAAGCGGGAACAAGGUUCAAACUUCAGAGAGAGAGGGAAGAAAAACAUUUAAAUAUAUCUGGCAUAAUCCAAGACUAUUUACGACAAGUGUUCUGUGUUUCUAAUAAUAAAACAGACUUCACCUCGGAGUACCUGCAGAACUGGGACCCCAAUGACCAGGGAGAAUGAAGAACAACUUGUUGAAGGUAUAGAGAAGGCAGCAAAUCAUACAAGAAGGUCCAUCCCAAACCAGAGAUAGUAUAGAUAAAUCUCUCAUGUUAACUAUGGAAAAAAUAAAGGAAGAUGACGUAUUUUAAUAGAAGGGAAAUUGCGCUUAUUGGGAGUAAGAACACUGAAUUGACUGAAUAUCUUAAAGAGAGUUAGGAAGUGAAAUUCUCAACAGGUGAUUAUUCUUUGACCAAUUUUGUCUUAUCUCUUAUCCACAUUCUUCCCUGCUCUUCCCAAUACAUGUGUAAGAAUAUCCAAGGGCACACACAUACCAUAAGCAGGAAUGGUGUCCUAAGGAAAGUCAAUAUAGAGAGUAAGAAGUAUAUCUGUCACAAUGUGUACAUGUAUACAUCCUAAAUAUUUGUACAAUUAAUUUACUUCUCUUCAUUUCCAACACUCCUAGUCUAUGCUAUGAACAUCUCUUACCUAAAAUGCUACAGAUGUCCCCUAAAUUUUUCCAUAAAUCAGUUUUUUCCUCUCCAAGCUGUAAGCAGAAAUGCAUUUUUAAAUUGCAUAUAUGACCGUGACACGUAUCUGUCUCAGUUUAUAGAACAGGUCUCUAACAGGGCCAGCAGCUUCCAGUCACUUCUGUCCCUUACCUUUUCUCCAGUCUCAUUUUACAUAUUUUUUUACAUGCUCUCUAUAUUCCUGUAAUUAAAUAUUACUUUCCCCUCAAU